rnacentral:rRNA from 1 species
GACGAACGCUGGCGGCGUGCCUAAUACAUGCAAGUUGAGCGCUGAAGGUUGGUACUUGUACCGACUGGAUGAGCAGCGAACGGGUGAGUAACGCGUGGUGAAUCUGCCUUUGAGCGGGGGACAACAUUUGGAAACGAAUGCUAAUACCGCAUAAAAACUUUAAACACAAGUUUUAAGUUUGAAAGAUGCAAUUGCAUCACUCAAAGAUGAUCCCGCGUUGUAUUAGCUAGUUGGUGAGGUAAAGGCUCACCAAGGCGAUGAUACAUAGCCGACCUGAGAGGGUGAGCGGCCAAAUUGGGACGGAGACACGGCCCAAACUCCUACGGGAGGCAGCAGGAGGGAAUCUUCGGCAAUGGACGAAAGUCUGACCGAGAAACGCCGCGGGAGUGAAGAAGGUUGUCGGAUCGUAAAACUCUGUUGGUAGAGAAGAACGUUGGUGAGAGUGGAAAGCUCAUAAAGUGACGGUAACUACCCAGAAAGGGACGGCUAACUACGUG